rnacentral:rRNA from 1 species
CCUACGGGUGGCAGCAGUGGGGAAUAUUGCACAAUGGGGGAAACCCUGAUGCAGCAACGCCGCGUGAGUGAAGAAUUAUUUCGGUAUGUAAAGCUCUAUCAGCAGGGAAGAAGAGAGACGGUACCUGACUAAUAAGCCCCGGCUAACUACGUGCCAGCAGCCGCGGUAAUACGUAGGGGGCAAGCGUUAUCCGGAAUUACGGGGUGUAAAGGGAGCGUAGACGGCUGUGCAAGUCUGGAGUGAAAGGCGGGGUCCCAACCCCCGGACUGCUCUGGAAACUGUAUGGCUGGAGUGCAGGAGAGGUAAGCGGAAUUCCUAGUGUAGCGGUGAAAUGCGUAGAGAUUAGGAGGAACACCAGUGGCGAAGGCGGCUUACUGGACUGUAACUGACGUUGAGGCUCGAAAGCGUGGGGAGCAAACAGGAUUAGAUACCCCUGUAGUC